AAACAACAUUCAAGAACAAAACCAACCAGGAGUGGAACCAAAGGAAGCAACAGAGAAAUAGCAAAAUGAAGACUUCAUCUACUGGACAUGCACAUAUGGAUACAUGAUCAGAUCUCCUGUAUAACCACUUGCUGUUGGGUGAGGAUCACGCACAAUCCUGCAAAGGAGGAGGCAGGGAAGCCCUCGCUCCAUCGUGAUCGUGUGACAUUUGCUAUCAGGGACUUGCAAUUUUUAAUAAAUUGUCAGAACUAGAAUGUGGGCUCCAGUGCAAAGUGAAAUCUUGGGAGGAAAAUGAAAGGUAUGUUUUACCAUACAUCUUUCAGAAAGAAGAGUGUUUAAAAUACAGAUAACAUUCU
rnacentral:lncRNA from 1 species